UGAACGCUGGCGGCGUGCCUAACACAUGCAAGUCGAGCGGAGAUAUGGGAGAUCUUUAGAUGAUCCCCUUAUCUUAGCGGCGGAUGGGUGAGUAACACGUGGGUAACCUGCCCUGCACAGGGGGAUAACAGCUGGAAACGGCUGUUAAUACCGCAUAUGCACACGCUGCCGCAUGGCAGAGGGUGGAAAGAUUUAUCGGUGCAGGAUGGGGCCCGCGUCGGAUUAACUAGUUGGCAGGGUAACGGCCUACCAAGGUGAUGAUCCGUAGCCGACCUGAGAGGGUGACCGGCCACAUUGGGACUGAGACACGGCCCAAACUCCUACGGGAGGCAGCAGUGGGGGAUAUUGCACAAUGGGCGCAAGCCUGAUGCAGCGACGCCGCGUGAAGGAAGAAGUAUUUCGGUAUGUAAACUUCUAUCAGCGGGGAAGAAGAUGACGGUACCCGACUAAGAAGCCCCGGCUAACUACGUGCCAGCCGCCGC
rnacentral:rRNA from 1 species